GAUUUUUUUUAAUUUUUUUAUAAUUUUCUAAGUGAUAUAUAAACAACGAUAGGAUAUCACCUUAAGACACAUCAUGUAGGAGACUCAUCGCCUCGAUCACACACAUAUACUGACAUAGUACAUCGUACUAUACGUACUUAUUUAAGCUAACAUCCAGGCCAGCUGGUACAUGCAGAGUUUUCAGAUCACAUAUAGGCUGUGUUUAGUUGCCGGCGUCCUCCGAUCCGUUACUUGAAAGCGCCAACGUCUUCCUCGUCUCCCUUCCGGCUGGCCCUGAAGUACUCCUUCGGGUUACCCUCGAACUUGUCGCGGGAGAUCAUCACCUUGCCGUCAAAGCCCGGCGCCUUCAUUGUCCGGGUCGUCGGCGGAUCAUCAUCUGCCGUCUUGUCCGGGUCUCCACUGCUCUCCCCAAUCGCCGACAGCAGGAACAAGGUGCCGGCGGCGGCGGCGGCGAUGAAGGCGGUGACGCCGAGGAUGCGGCGGCGGGUCGAAGGCUUGUCCGUCUUCUCCUUCUCCUUUACCUCGUUCCUCUUCAUCUCGCGGCAAGAGAGAGAGAGAGACAGAGAGAGAGUGGGGGGGGGGGACAGUGGGUAACUGGCUACGGAGAUUGGAGAGGCCUCAGAGCAUCAGGGCAGCUUUUGUAGUGAGCUCGCGAUGGGACCCACAUGGCCACAGCCAUCAUCACUACUCCAUCUGUCAUGCACUCUUCCGUAGUCUUUAAGUAAAGAGGGAUCUUAAUCUUUAAAAAUUAGUGUAGAGAGAUUUUACCGUACCGGAGGAAGUACAUGUAAAUACUAAUGGGCUCAUCUUUUGGUUUAUACUUAUAUUUAUCAGCUAAAAUUUAAAUUUUUAACCUUAAAUUUGGAGCUGAUUUUGAGGUUUUUUUAUCGAAGUUUAUUUUUUAGUUUUUAUUUUUAGAUCGCUAAGAACAUGUAUAUAAAAGUUUUAACCACAAAUUACUUUCCGUUUGCAAAUAUGCCGUUUCGCUUAUUCCGCGAAUAAGCGAAAUGAUGGCUCCGUAAAAUUUUGAUAUCUCGAGAUAUCUAAUAUUUGUAGGUAUCAAAUUUUAUAAUAGAAAAUAUCGUAUUGCCUGAUAUUUUCUUAAGAAUGAUAAAAUUACUGCAUCGCUCACAUUUCAAGAAAAUUUUACUUGGAAAAGAAUAAAGUUAAAGUGUCCCAUACUAUUACUUUUAUAAAGAAAGUAAAUAAGAGGAUAAAGAUAAACUUACUUUAGAACAACCUUUAGAAUUACUAACUUAUUUCAGGGUGUCGGGAUGGGAAUUCUUUUAGAAAUAAUACUCCCCCAUCCAUCUGAGUUGCUCGUAUUAUUUUUUGCAUUAUGACCAAAAAGAGCACUAACUUCUCUAUGAUUCAUUUAAUCUCACUUGUGAUUUCAGCCAAUCGAUCUCUUUUUUACAAGUUUUUAUUAAAAUAAUAUUAUUUCUAAAAACUUUUCUGGGGAAGGAGAUGGAAGGCCAAAGGGUUAAAGGUGAAAGCUUUUAGUCUUUCGCUGGACCCAGCUUGACUCCUCUCUCCACUAUGUGGUUUCUUCGUGGAAGAUGAAAAAGCUUUUCGUACGUGGCUGACUCAGCUAGACUCCUCUCCACGAUGACCCAUUAGACUGUGUUCUUGAGGGCAAGUUUUAUAAUAAAGGUGAUGGCCGCCUUUAAUUUUAUCCACGUCAUUUAUCCAUAAAAUUAAAACUAACUUAUAUAAAUGCAUUGCAUUUAAUACACUAGUCCCAAUACACUUACCACUAACACCAUUCUCAACCCAAUGACUAGGAUAGUAUCCAUAGCAUUAAAUAAGCUGCCACCUAGGAUGAAAAAUGAUAUGACAAGUGAAUAAAUAAGAAAAGAGAAAAAAAUCAUGGUUUUUACACAACAUUUAAGACAUCAUGUGAGAUAAGUAGCAUUAAAUCUAAGUAUGGAAUAGUGAUGUUUGCAUUGGAAGAGUAGUGUCUAGUAUUAGUUUCUUGAUGAUGUGGAGUUUGUGAAAACUAUGUAUAGUGUUUUGGGUUAGGAAUGUCCUAAUCAACCCCUUUCUUUUUCUCUUGUUUCUUAAAGUUUGUGUGGAGGUUGCCCCUUAUACGAGAGCAAGGUCAAUAGUGCAGCUAGUGGCAAGCUCCAAAAUUUUAUCAUGUCAAGGUAGGUAGAGGUGGCUCCUUCUUUCUCUCUUUUCUCUUCUCUUCUCUCCUCUCCUCCACAUCAUCAUUUAAGUAUACAUGACACUUUGGAGUUUGUGCUUAAAACCUUAUAGUACGUUGGAAACUAACUCCCCCAACACGCAAAACAUAACGAUAAAUUAACGCGUAAUUUAUUAAUUAUUAGUUAAAAAACUUGAAAAAUAAAUUAAUAUGAUUUUAAGUAAUUUUUUUAAUAUUUUUUAAAUCAAAUCAUUUAAUAGUUUGAGAAGCGUGUGUAUGAAAAAUGAGAGAACACAAAAGCCUUCUUCCUAAUAGCCAACUAAUGCCGCAUCAAUAAAAUGCAGAAAAUAGUCGCUUUGUGCAAUUUCUUUCGAAAGAGCCGAUACUAGGACUGAUCAAUCCUCCGCCUAACAAGGUUAGGGUAGGGCCGUAUAGGAUUUGUUCAGUAGUCCCAAUAUUUUAUUCCCAAAACUAUGUUUUUUUAACUCCUAAACUAAAUAUAGAAAGUAAGAAAACUAAUCUUUUUAAGAGAUGUCCUAAAUUUGAUUCCCUAUAAUGAAAAGUGGGCUCUCCCUUUAACUACCAACAGAGAAUUAGUUUUUUCUGCUCCUCCCCUACGUGCGCACCGCGUGGCUAGCUUAAUUUUUUCUCCCUACGCGCGCGAAAGAGCGAUUGGGAAAAAAUUCGCUCCUUAAAGUAGGAAACGAGAUAUCCGGAGUUGGGAACUUGGAUUAUUAGGAGACAGGUUAGGGAUUCUGUUGGAUACGAUUUUUAACCAAAUUUUCCUAAAUCUGAGGAUAGGGAAUAAAAUAAUAAUAAAGCUGUUGGUCAUGCUCUAACUUCUCCUUAAUCAUUUUCUUCACAUAUGUUUCCCAAACUGCUAAAUUGUAUAUUUUUUAUAAAAAGUUAUAUAGAAAAUUUGUUUUAAAAAAUCAUAUUAAUUCAUUUUUAAAGCUUUUUUAAGCUAAUACUUAAUUAAUCAUACAUUAAACAUCCACUUCGUUUAGAGUGUAACGGGGAAAGAGGGUUCCUAAUAGCAAGUCUAAUAAGCAGGCGAUUAGCCUAUAUAAGAGGGAAAUUAUUUUUUUUAGUGCUAAUACGAUCGUUUGAUGUAUUAUCAGCAGUUGGCAAACCGAUGGCAGCCUGAGCUUCUUCACGGCUGUUCUAUAUAUGAACCGAGCUGUUGACGUAUAAGCUGAAAUAGUGAUCGGGUUAGGGACGUUUUAACUUUCAGUCACAAAUUGACAAAUUAUGAUUGGCAAUUUGGCAUUGUACCCCUUGUGGAGACACUGUUGUAGGAUAGAAAUUCGCAAGCUAAGUCUGCUGUUGUUGUUAUUCACAUAAUUGUGAUUGGUGGGUUAUCUAAAAAGUAUUCGACACAAAACGGAGCCAAGCACAGUCAGAUUUUUCUCAAUCUCUAAUCCUUACCCAUAAUGACAAGAAUAGAGGGCCUCCACGUACAGACUUUCACGAUUAAUUAUAAACUAGUACAUACUUUACACUGGUGGAGAAACCCUUUGUAGUCCCGGUUCGUAACCCCCCUUUAGUCCCGGUUUCCAAACCGGGAGUACCAAUCCGGGACUAAAGAUCGCUAUCUUUAGUCCCGGGUGAAAUAACCGGGAGUAAAGAUCGAUCUUUAGUCCCGGUUGGUAACACCAACCGGGACUAAAGAUGGCUCAGCCACGUGGCCGGCUGAGCCAACCAACCGGGACUAAAGAUCGAGCUGAACUUUUUUUUUUUUUUGCAUGGCCCUGUUGCUGCAUGGUUUAUAUAUAUAUAUAUAUAUAUAUAUAUAUAUAUAUAUAUAUAUAUAUAUAUAUAUAUAUAUAUAUAUAUAUAUAUAGUAAAUUUGUUUGGUGCUCCAUGGUGCCCGGGCACCAUUGUUGAAAUUGAGUAUAUACCCAAUUCAAAUGAGUAUGAAACUUUUUUAAUUAUUUAGGUAUUAAUAUUAACUACUUUACUAACUAGUUGAAAGCAAGUUUGAACUGAAUUUGAACUUGUUUUUGUUAGAUUUUGAUUAUAGGUAUAUAGCAUCCAUACAUAUAAUUAGUUAGGUAUGUAAUCAUGGAUUGUAAAAUAAAGUUAAAUUUGAGUUGUUUUGUUGAUAGGUAUAGGUAUGAAUCGAAUUCUUAUAACUAGGUAUAUACUCACAAUUUGAAAAUUUUGAAAAAUUUGAGUGAUUUUGUGCAUUUGAAACCAUGGUGCCCGGGCACCAUGGUGCCCCAUAUGAGUGUCCUAUAUAUAUAUAUAUAUAUAUAUAUAUAUAUAUAUAUAUAUAUAUAUAUAUAUAUAUAUAUAUAUAUAUAUAUAAACCAUGUAUAUAUAUGUUUCAAUACAUAUAUAUGCAUACAUAUAUAUAUGUAUAUAUAUAUAUUAUAUUAUAUUAUAUGUAUAUACAUGCAUAAUAUAUAUGUAUUUAUACAUAUAAAUGUUAUGCAAAUGCAUAUGUAUAUAGAUAUAUAUAUGACCAAAAUAUAUUUACAUUAUAGAAAAUGUGUACACAUGCAUAUAGAAACAUAUGUAGUCAUGUAUUAAUUACAAUCCAUUAUAUGUCCUAGCUAGCUACGAUUUCGACGUAGUAGUAGUCGCUGCUAGCUCAGAAGCUACGGACCGGUGAAUUGUGUUUCCGUCGUAGUAGAAUUCACCCUUGGGAUCAAGGAUUUCUUCGUUGAUGAAUCCCAUGAGUUGUUCUUGAACCGCUGCGAUAAAUUCCUUGUGUGUGGUCAGGUUAUCCCUCAUGCGAAUAAACUAUAUGAAUGUAUGAAAUUGAUUAGUAAUUAAACAAGAAAUCGUUACGUAAUGAAAUUUUGAAUUUAUUUGUACGUACAUCGAGCUCUCUUGUGGUGAUGAUUUGGUCUGCAAGGCAGUGGCAAUACUCACACACGUAGUAGCCGCACAAGUUAGUUCCCUGCUUUUGCUUUGUGCACUACAAAUAAAUGACAAAUUAACGGCGUGAGAUCUAAUUAAUAUACAGUUGUAUGUAUUAAUUUGAAUCGGAGAAAUAUAAAUGUAGAGCAUGUGUACUCACAGGAAAUUUGAACUUCCGCCUAAGUCUUUCUCUCCAUUUACCGCGGACCAAAUGACGGAACCGAUACCAAGCCCUACAUGGAGUUUAAAGCUAUGAUUCGUAGUAGCAAUUAACAUAACAAGAUUUUCUUAAUUAACAGAGGAACUUAUGACGGUACCUGUCUAUAAGUUCGAAAACCUUGUCAAACGUAGACUCUUUUUUAUCCAUUGAGUCAUAUACGUUGACGGUGCAGGCCGACAGGUCGAAGAGUAAAAGCACCCAGUGGAAUCUGCAAUGUGCGUGGGAUGCAUUACAUAUGAAACACUUAGCAAGUUCGUACGGGAAUGAAAUUUGGUAUGUAGGAAGACAGUAAAAUUGAACUAACUCUGUGUUGUACGGCAACAGUAUGAACGUCUUGUAAUGCUGCGCCUUCAGGAGAUGGACGAGAUUGUCCUCUGUUUCUUGUGGAUAUUGGUCGAGCAUUGCGACGUUUACUCUCCGAGGGUCGAUGAAUCCAGUAUCGAAAACCCUCCGCCGUCGGGCCCUUUGAAUCUCCAUUCUACAACGAUAAAAGGGAGUAUUUUAUUUUAUAUAGUCUACUUAUAUACAAGGACCUAAUUAAUUAAAGGAGACGUAUAGUAAGAAGUCUAACUGAACGAUAUACUUACAAAAUCCAGCAACUCAUAAUAGAGACGUCGAGGGCGUCCAGCUGGUAUAGUUCGUAGAUUCCCCUGAAAUUGAUCCAGAGAAUGUCAUCUCCUUGCAAGAAGUCCGUGUCCCUGAUCCUCGCUCCGAUCAUCUCUCUACCGGUGGCGCUCAUCUCCAUGUACAGCUGAUGGAACUUGUACAUUUGUGUGGGUAGGGACUGCAGCAGCUCAGGCUUGACAAGCGGUUUACCGAGUUCGUACAUGUAUUUCACUUCCGCCUUUUCGAUUGGUGCGACUCCUAGCAAUUGAUCCGUAGUUAGACCGGUGUCAGUAAUAAAUUGUUCUAUCGUCAUUUCUUUACCGGUCACCAAUGGCUCGAUCUCCUGGUUUGGUUGCUCUCCAAGCUGAGGGACUGGUUUGGACUUUCCAGAAGAUGCUUUCUUCAGCGUUCGCUCAUAGUCCGAUAGCUUGAUGGCCUCCUUGACAGAUGCAGACAUACCCCUGAAGAAGUUCCUGACACUGGGGUCUAUAGGAAUCUUCUUUUCUGGACUUCGAGGCUUGAAUUGUCUCUUGACUUCUGAUGCAACGUAAGCGUCAAGCUCCUCUUGCGUGCAAUCGUACCCCGGGUCAUUGUUCUUGGCGGCGUCAACUUUCGCCUUCUUCGUUGCCCUUGUGUGGGCAGGCGAUGGAGCUGGGGGGGCCCUUGACUUUGAAGGUGCCGGAAGAGGAGCUUGCGGAGGAGUAGGUGUAGGAGCCCGAGGAGGAGUCGGUGCAGGAUCCUGAGGAGGAGUCGGUGCUGGAGCCUGAGGUGGAGACGGUGCUGGCGGAGCAUGAGGAGGAGACGGUGCAGGAUCCUGAGGAGGAGAUGGCGGAGCCGGAGGAGAUGGUGCACGAGACGCCGCUUGUCGCCCAGGGAGGAUGAUGUACCGCCUGCGCCAUAGAAUAAUGGCAUGGCUUGUGUCUCGUAGAUGCGUCUCACCGUCUCCUCCAGGGUAAUCCAGCUCGAGGUCCUCGUACGCGCCUUCGACCAACUCAACUUCGACCUUCGAGUAUCCUGCUGGAAUCGGCCUGCAGUGGUAAGUACCUGAAGGGUCCGUUGGGAUGGCCAUGCCCGACGCCACCUUCAUGUUGUGAGAGAUUAUUUAUUAGUAAUCAACAUAUAUAAGCAGCAACUAGCGGAAUGGCUAAAUCUUACCUUUAUUGAUAAGUUCUUGAAAGGAAUAUGCAGCUCACAUGAUGUCCGCUGAGUGAUGUCAUCAACGGGACAGGUCGAUUCGUCCUGUGUUUGCAUGGCGUCCAUGCUCUGUGAUCCUACCUGCCCCGUUGAGGCGCAGCUGCUACGGUUUCCUGACGGGCUCACCAUUGCAGGAGGAAUGGUCGGCUGGGGAUCAUGGGACCGAUGUGCGGCCAUGCGUUCAUCAACCUUCCUUGCCACCUCCUCUUGCAUGUUGAGUUCGUAGCUCGAUACCCGGAACUCUAGGUCUGCAAUCUUCGCCUCGGUAUCUCUCUUGCUCCUCAUCCGACUCCUGUACGUGUGGAUGUCCUCCUUGAAACCAAUCUUCCAAGGAAUCACCCCUUUCCCUCGUGUUCGUCCUGGAUGCUCUGGAGUCUGCAGGGCGAGUGUCAGAUCGUCCCUAUCUCUGUCUGGUCGGAACGUGCCCUGAGAGGAGGCUUCCACUGCAUCUGUUAGUCGUCGCGCAGCCUCUCGUAUCUGAUCGCCGAAGACCAGUGAGCCAUCAGCUGGGUUGAGCGUUCCACCGUGAGCAUAGUACCAGAACUUCAAUCGUUCCGGCCAAUUGGCUGUUGCCGGUUCGAUACCCCUCUCAAUCAAGCUAGCCUCCAUCUCCUCCCACUUCGGCAUCGCGACGCUAUAGCCUCCUGACCCCAAGUGGUGAUGGUACUUCUUCUUGGCGGCAUUUUCUUUGUUUCUUUCCAUCAUCGCCUGCCCUUGUUCACCUGUCUUAUAUGCAACGAACUCGUCCCAGUGAUCCCUUAGCUUUGGGAAUGUGUCGAAGUUCGGUGUCUGCCCCUUCAGUAUAUACUUCUGGUACAGAUCUCCCUUGAAGCUCUGAAACUGUUCUGCCAUUUUCUUCAGAGUCCACCUUUUCACUUUGUCCUCUGUACCCGCAGGAAGGGUGAAUGUCUCGAGCAUUGUGGUCCACAGCAUCUCUUUCUCCGAAUCUGGGACAAAGCUCUCAUGAUCUCCGCGUGCCCUUGUUCUUCGCCAGUACACCGUACUGACAGGCACGUUAUCCCGCACAACCCAACCGCUGUGACGUACAUAGUUCUUGGCGGCUUCGGCCGGGGCACUAGGACGUCCAUCUUCUUCCACUUCCGUUAUGAUGUGCCGACCCUCAAGCUUCUUCGCUGCACCUCGUUGCCCGCGUGCCCUCUUCUGUCCAACGGAGGGUUGACUACCACUAGCCUCCUCCUCCUGGUUCCCCUCCACAUCCCUUUCCACGUGCCCCUGCUGGUUCCCCUCCGCAUCCCUCUCCACGUUCCCUUCCUCGUUCAAGUACUGGUUUGGAUCCUCGUUCCCCUCUUCUUCAUUCCAGUACUAGCUGCUUCCCUCCGCGAUUGUAUCGUACAAUAUCUGUUCCUCAUCGUGGUCAGCCAUCUGUUGAUACAAGAAACAUCUGCUAAGUCACGAGACAUUUAUGUUUUAACAAUCUAAGUCAUGUAUGCUAAGUGUAAAUGUCGUACAUUAGAACCCUACACAACCUUACGUGCUAAGUCUAAUUACAAAUCGUGAUAUAAGCUAAGUCUAGGUGACGUAUAUUAUACAACCCUAGCUAGUAAAUAAUUAUAUACUAAGUCUAAUUACAAAUAAAAUAAUCUUAUAUUAAAACUCAAAUAAUAUUACAUGCUAAGACUAAAAUAGUCAUGUAUGCUAAGUGUUUCGUGCGUAUAUGCUAAGUCUAAUUAAGACUACAAUAGUCAAUUGCUACUUGUCGCACCACUUCCGUAGUCAAUAAUUACAUACUAAGUCUAAUUACAAAUAAAGUAAUCUUAUAUUAAAACUCAAAUAAUAUUACAUGCUAAGACUAAAAUAGUCAUGUAUGCUAAGUGUUUCGUGCGUAUAUGCUAAGUCUAAUUAAGACUACAAUAGUCAAUUGCUAGGAGUCGCACCAAUUCCGUAGUCAAUAAUGUCAUACUAAGUCUAAUUUGCAAUAAAAUAAUCUUAUAUUAAAACUCAAAUAAUAUUAGAACACUACACAAUCUUAUAUGAUAAGUCUAAUUACAGGUCUAAUAAUCUUAAUUAAUUGCAUUACAAAUAUAACAAUCAUUUAUAUUAUUACGUCACUUGCCUGCUCCAAUUCCUUCUAGGGCUAGCUCUUCCACUCAGGCUUGACGGACGACUCCGACAACACGUCUUUUCUGCAAGAUACAAAAAGAUGUAUUAGGAUAAAUGCGAAGUAACAUAUAUAUAUAUAUAUAUAUAUAUAUAUAUAUAUAUAUAUAUAUAUAUAUAUAUAUAUAUAUAUAUAUAUAUAGUAAAUUUGUUUGGUGCUCCAUGGUGUCCGGGCACCAUUGUUGAAAUUGAGUAUAUACCCAAUUCAAAUGAGUAUGAAACUUUUUCAAUUACUUAGGUAUUAACAUUAACUACUUUACUAACUAGUUUAAAGCAAGUUUGAACUGAAUUUGAACUUGUUUUUGUUAGAUUUUGAUUCNNNNNNNNNNNNNNNNNNNNNNNNNNNNNNNNNNNNNNNNNNNNNNNNNNNNNNNNNNNNNNNNNNNNNNNNNNNNNNNNNNNNNNNNNNNNNNNNNNNNAACGUGGAUCCACCAGAGCUGUGUGUCUUGUUAGCUGUUAGUUUUCACUUUUAUGUCAGCAACGCAACCAGACUUGUUCUUAGGAUCAUGAAUUACAAACUGCUCACUCGAGAAUUGAGAUAGUUUUCAUGAUAUAAUGGAAGCCAGAGUGCUACUGGUUUUGUGAAUCAGCAGGCGAAUCUGCGAAAACUCAAUUGGGAUAUCCUUUAGUUGAGACUGGCCAAGUUCUCUACACUCCAAUCCAUGAUGUAGUGCAUUGUACUAGUUGUUGCAUUGUGUUGAUGACUUGCUGUGAAAUCUUUAUCUCACUGAUAUCGAUUAUGCAUGUUAUUCUUUCGUGGAAGACUUCCUUUUUUUUUAUACGAGGUAUCAUGGAAAAGAAUUUUUGCAAAAAAAAAAAAAAACUUCUACUGGUGAGGGAACCGACCUCUUCUGGCUGAGUUCGCUUGCUGAGGUUCUCAACCUUUAACUCUCUCAAAACUCAAUAGGUCGGCCAAAUCACUCACCGAUUUGGCUUGUUGAUUUUUUUUAAUUUUUUUAUAAUUUUCUAAGUGAUAUAUAAACAACGAUAGGAUAUCACCUUAAGACACAUCAUGUAGGAGACUCAUCGCCUCGAUCACACACAUAUACUGACAUAGUACAUCGUACUAUACGUACUUAUUUAAGCUAACAUCCAGGCCAGCUGGUACAUGCAGAGUUUUCAGAUCACAUAUAGGCUGUGUUUAGUUGCCGGCGUCCUCCGAUCCGUUACUUGAAAGCGCCAACGUCUUCCUCGUCUCCCUUCCGGCUGGCCCUGAAGUACUCCUUCGGGUUACCCUCGAACUUGUCGCGGGAGAUCAUCACCUUGCCGUCAAAGCCCGGCGCCUUCAUUGUCCGGGUCGUCGGCGGAUCAUCAUCUGCCGUCUUGUCCGGGUCUCCACUGCUCUCCCCAAUCGCCGACAGCAGGAACAAGGUGCCGGCGGCGGCGGCGGCGAUGAAGGCGGUGACGCCGAGGAUGCGGCGGCGGGUCGAAGGCUUGUCCGUCUUCUCCUUCUCCUUUACCUCGUUCCUCUUCAUCUCGCGGCAAGAGAGAGAGAGAGACAGAGAGAGAGUGGGGGGGGGGGACAGUGGGUAACUGGCUACGGAGAUUGGAGAGGCCUCAGAGCAUCAGGGCAGCUUUUGUAGUGAGCUCGCGAUGGGACCCACAUGGCCACAGCCAUCAUCACU
rnacentral:lncRNA from 1 species